AACGAACGCUGGCGGCAUGCCUAACACAUGCAAGUCGAACGAAGGCUUCGGCCUUAGUGGCGCACGGGUGCGUAACGCGUGGGAAUCUGCCCUUGGGUUCGGAAUAACUCAGAGAAAUUUGAGCUAAUGCCGGAUGAUGACGUAAGUCCAAAGAUUUAUCGCCCAAGGAUGAGCCCGCGUAAGAUUAGCUAGUUGGUGGGGUAAAGGCCUACCAAGGCGACGAUCUUUAGCUGGUCUGAGAGGAUGAUCAGCCACACUGGGACUGAGACACGGCCCAGACUCCUACGGGAGGCAGCAGUGGGGAAUAUUGGACAAUGGGGGCAACCCUGAUCCAGCCAUUCCGCGUGAGUGAAGAA
rnacentral:rRNA from 1 species